rnacentral:rRNA from 1 species
UACGUAGGGGGCAAGCGUUGUCCGGAAUCAUUGGGCGUAAAGAGCGUGUAGGCGGCUCGGUAAGUCCGCUCUGAAAGCCCGGGGCUCAACCCCGGGAGGCGGGCGGAUACUGUCGGGCUAGAGUCCGGAAGAGGCGAGUGGAAUUCCUGGUGUAGCGGUGAAAUGCGCAGAUAUCAGGAGGAACACCAAUGGCGAAGGCAGCUCGCUGGGACGGAACUGACGCUAAGGCGCGAAAGCGUGGGGAGCGAACAGG